AAGAGACCUUUCAAAAAUCAGAGUUCCUUAUCUCAACUUUCCAUUCUCUCUCUAAAAGUUCAGCUCUUCUUUUUUCUGCCUUUUCUCUACCAUUCCCUCACAUUCUCUCGUUGCAUGUUGGUCUAGGUGGUGCUCAAGUGAUCGCGGCGCAAAGAGCUUCGCAACCAUCCGAUUAGAUUCUCGUUCUACCGCGGGGUUUGGUUGAGUUCUCUUUGAGUUAGGCGCUGUUGAAUCAAGUUGUGAGCUUAGCUGUGAAACCCUAAGAUGGAUGGGGUGUCUCUGGAGCAAGCCUUGAAGGAAGAUGAUGCUGCUGCUUAAUCUUCUUAGGAUUCUCUUAGUAUUUCUUGUAUUUCGAAAUACUUUAGUAUGUUUAAGUUUUAAUUUUUUUGACUUAUUUUAAGAUGACUGUAAUCCCAUUUAAUCUCGAUUGCUUUCCUAUAUUAUGAAUGAUUACGUCACAUUAUAUAUGUUUCCCAUAUAAUAAGGGAUGUUACACCUAGUAAUAAAAUCCAUCAUGUUGUACAGUA